rnacentral:rRNA from 1 species
AAUAUGUGGCAUACGGCUCAGUAACACGUAGUCAACAUGCCCAGGGGACGUGGAUAACCUCGGGAAACUGAGGAUAAACCGCGAUAGGUCAUCACUUCUGGAAUGGGUAAUGACUUAAAUCUAUAUGGCCCCUGGAUUGGACUGCGGCCGAUCAGGCUGUUGGUGAGGUAAUGGCCCACCAAACCUGUAACCGGUACGGGCUCUGAGAGGAGGAGCCCGGAGAUGGGCACUGAGACAAGGGCCCAGGCCCUAUGGGGCGCAGCAGGCGCGAAACCUCUGCAAUAGGCGAAAGCUUGACAGGGUUACUCUGAGUGAUGUCCGUUAAGGGCAUCUUUUGGCACCUCUAAAAAUGGUGUAGAAUAAGGGGUGGGCAAGUCUGGUGUCAGCCGCCGCGGUAAUACCAGCACCCCGAGUGGUCGGGACGAUUAUUGGGCCUAAAGCAUCCGUAGCCGGUUCUGCAAGUCUUCCGUUAAAUCCACCUGCUCAACAGAUGGGCUGCGGGGGAUACUACAGGGCUAGGAGGCGGGAGAGGCAAGCGGUACUCGGUGGGUAGGGGUAAAAUCCUCUGAUCCACUGAAGACCACCAGUGGCGAAGGCGGCUUGCCAGAACGCGCUCGACGGUGAGGGAUGAAAGCUGGGGGAGCAAACCGGAUUAGAUACCCGGGUAGUCCCAGCUGUAAAC